CAAAUUUAAACAGCUAAGAUACAACUUAGCCUAUUUUUUUCUCUUGUUAAUUAUCUUUUAAUAAGAAUUCAAGUUACUGCAUAUUUAGCAUCACUCAAAAUUUCUUCUUAUCUCUGCUUUUUUUGUUCUAAAGAUGUCAUAGGAAGAGUUUCUUUUUAUGGCUGGAGAAUAAAGACUGAAAACUCAUUUUCUCUUGACUUUUAAACUUCAUGGAUGAACUUUUUGAGUUAGCCAAGUUGUUCUGCUGAUUUUCUUUUCUUUUCUUUUUUUUUUUUUAACCUUGCUUCUGUUGAGCAGAAGGACAGCUGUUUUUGGCUGACGUUCUGUGCUGUGUAUUUUGUCAUAUGCCUCUUGCUGCGGCUCAAGCAUCAGAUGUGCAGGGCAAUAGGAAUGGAAGUUCAAAGCAUGACACGGACACUGAUAACAGUGUGUAUCAUUUGUGUGGUCUGAAGAAAUGAAAUUGAAUGGGGGAACAAAAUUAUGUCUGACAUUUACCUGGAUUUGCUCAAAAGGUACUUCAAAGCUGAAAGACUCAUUGUAGUAGGGGUUAAGUGUGUUCUUUUUAAUUGUUGUCUUUUUCUUCUUCAGCCUCUUGCCAUUCUGCAUCAGAUGAAUCUUCACAUAAGGAUCUGAAAAACAGACACAAAAACUUUAAAUGACCAGAGACACAGAUCGUAAUUUAACUUAUAAAAGGACCAUGUAUUUUCAACAGAUAAAUAAUUGUAUAGCAUGUAUUUGGUAUUUUUUUAAAAACUUCAAGCAAAUUUUUAUUGAAAGAUUUUUAAGUAACCUAUGGGGUAUGCUUUUUACCAUGCUGUAUGAAUAUUUACAGUUGAAUUUUGAAGAUGAGAGAAGUGGUGUGCUGGUAAACCAGCUCUUUGGAAAAAAUAGUCUUGACUUAGCAAUUUGCAGAUUUCUGUGGUAUAAGUAUGCUCACCAGAGCUGAUUUCAAGCCACAAAUGGCUUAACAACCAGCUUGUAAAGUCCCUGAAAAUUUAACAAUUGACUUUUUGAGUUGGCAGAGGGCUUGGCUGCUGCCCACGACUGAAUGGGAAUAGAACUUGACCAAGGAGAGGACAAAGAAGCCAUGCUAUUCGUUCAUUUUCCCACUUACCAACCAAUAUUAAUUGAGUGCCUAAAAAGCAUUAGGUAUUGUUGAGUCCCAGAGGUGCAGCAGUGUUCAGAAAAACCUUUCUCUAUCCUCAGGAUGGACUUCAGACUUGUUGGGGGAAUAAGAAGCUUGUAAAGAAACUAAAUACAUACGAAUUAGAAGUGGAAGAAAGGAGCAGAGAUCUGAUAGCAAAUAUGGAGAAUGAUACAAUGAGUGAUAAAUAGGAAUGAAGUUGUGAAACUGCUCAGGGAACCAGGAACAAUAUAACUGAGAAGGCAAAGGAUUAAAUACUUCUUAUUCCAGAAGAAAAACAAAGCCACCCCAACUUUGCCAUACCUUUCCCUCCUCCUCUGUAUUUCUCCGAUUUACAUAAGCAGUUUAUGAGGGUGUGAGGUGCCUUCUAAUCAGAUUACGUGCCGCUGCCCCAGAAUUGUGGAACACUUGGCUGUCGACUCACAUCAUGUCUCUUUUAUGCUACUUUGAACUGGAAAAAGAAUUUCAAUUCAAGACUGACUUGCCUCUAUUUCCCUCCCUUCCUGUUAGAAGACAGAAGUGUGUGAGGAAUGUGGAAUAGAAAAGUGGGAGGGAAUUUUCAGAAAGUGUUAUAUUCAUCUGUCCUUCAACUGCUAGGAACAGACCAAGGUGAGCAAGUGGGUUGAACAGUAACUGACUUAGAAAAGGUCACAGGAUUUCCAGGAGCAAAGAGAGGAGGGACCCAGGAGCUGGAAUGCAGUGGAAAGGGCAGCAAUUGCCAAGAUAUACUGCCCUCUUCAGGAUUUUUAAGAAAAAAACAUUUAGCAGUCUGACCACCGAGGUGGCAAGGUUGUGAGCAGUGGGCAGGCUCACACACUUCUGGUCUGAGUGUUAUUUGCUCAGGUCUAGAAAAGCUGACGAUGUGCAUACCCUCGGUCCAGCAAUCCCACUGGCAUGUAAAUGUCUUAGAGAUGCUCACCCACAUUUACAUAAGGAGACAGGGGUCGGAAUGUUCUUUGUUACUUUUUCUGUGACUGCAAGGAACUGGAAAUAGCUCAAAUGUCCAUAGACAGAUCAGACGGAUAUUUACCUGCCAUAGAAUGCGACAUAGCAAUAAGAAGUAACAAAGUUAUAUCAGCGCACAUGGGCACAGCUCCAGAAUAUAGUCUGGAGAAUAUAAUUUGGAAAAUAUAAUUUGCAGCAUAAUAUAAUGAAACCAUUUAGAUUAAGUCUGGAAACACACCAAAAAACCCCAUAGAGUAUAAUAUUAUUUAUACAGGCAAAAAAACGUGAAAAACAAAACAAAACAAAAUCCCUGAAUGUGUAUGUAAUAAAAACAGGCAUGGAAGUGACUGACAUGAUGUGAAAACAGGCCUGAGAAUUGCCAAUACCAAAUUCAAGUUAACAGUUACCUGUGAGGAGCAAAUGGGAGCGAGGAGAGAGGGUGAGGUAUGCAGGAUAUUUUGAGGAUAUAAGUUGUGUUGGAUUUCUUUAGCAUGGUGAGUAUUCAUUUAGUUCACUUUAUUAUUUAGACUUAUGGUAUGCAUGACCUAUUUCAUUAAAAACACUGAGGAUCUCUAAGUCAGAGUCAACUAAAAUUUAUUAGUGCCUAUCAUGUGGUUGGCACAGUGCCCUUCUGCAUUCUGCAGUGCAGCAGUCAUACUGGAGAAGUCUGUGCCUAGCAAUGUAACUGAAUCCCACUAUCUGGAAACUUCCACAUCAAACCUUCAGAUCCUUUUGCCAGUAUGAUUCCACCUGAGCUGUUGCCGAGCUGCUGUGAGCUCACCACUAUGACUGAUGGAUUUGUGGAGAAAGGAGCAGGUGGAGGAAGAAGGAAAGCAAGUUCAUGCAUGAACCUCAUGUAGACCAAAGCAUGAAGCAACAUGUAGAGACCAGAAGUUCUAGGAGGAUGGAAAGGAAACUCCCCUUUUGCAGGUGAUAGGAGAAGAGACCUCCGAUGUGCUGGGCAUUAUGCUUGAGUCUAUUCACACCUCAUCUCAUCUAACCACCCAAUAACCCCAUGAAAGAAAGCAAACUGGAAGAUGUGCCUUGGCAAGUCGGCUGUAAAGGUGAUUCAAGCCAUCCACGGCUCAGCAACAGACCUGUGGCACUCCAGGGUAGAUGGCUGGUUAAUUGUCUUGAAGGAGAGACCUAUUCACUCAUCCCUGUGAGUGUCUGUUUUAAUGUGUG